rnacentral:rRNA from 1 species
UACGUAGGGACCAAGCGUUGUUCGGAUUUACUGGGCGUAAAGGGCGCGUAGGCGGCUUAACAAGUCACUUGUGAAAUCUCCGGGCUUAACUCGGAACGGCCAAGUGAAACUGUCAAGCUAGAGUGCAGAAGGGGCAAUCGGAAUUCUUGGAUGUAGCGGUGAAAUGACGUAGAUAUCAAGAGGAACACCUGAGGUGAAGACGGGUGCUGGCUGACACUGACGCUGAGGCGCGGAAAGCCAGGGAGCAAACGGG